GGAGAGGUCGCAUAGUUUGGUCCAUUGCGAGGGUUUGCUAAACCCUUGAGCCGAAAGGCUCGCGUGGGUUCGAAUCCCACCCUCUCCG
rnacentral:tRNA from 1 species